UUUUUAAUUUUUUUAAAAGGUUCUUAUAUUAACCUACCUUCCUGCUCUGUGUAGCAUAAUGUAGCAACUGAGCACGCGUCUGGAUGUGGUGCUGGAGUUCCUGUCUCAGCUCAGCCCCUUUCCUAUUUGAGAGACAGGUAAAGACUGUGAGGGUUAAAUAUGGGAAUACGUGUAAAGGGCUCGGACUAGCGUCUGAUGCUUAUGGUGCUCACACAGUGCUUGUUACUAUUUGUCCAUGAAAUAGUUUUUAACCUUUAGUACUCAAUUUUACCCUUUUGUUUUUUGUACUAGGGACCUUGGAGAUGGUUGAGCCAAGGGCCUCACAUGUACUAGAUACGUGCUGUAUUUCUGAGCCACACCCCUGUGACAAAACAAGGCUGUUUUCAGGCUUAUUAGAGUUAUUGUUUUUCUCCUACUUUUGACUCCUUCCUUGUUUUCCAGUUGUAGUCCCUACCUCUAGCAUAAAGAUGUUGCUUUUGUCCUAUCCAAGACCCAUUGGUUGUUCUAAGGUAAUCAACUGUGGUCUUAUUUCCCUAGUAAGUUGUGAGAUGACCAGGACAUAUGCAUAAUACUGCCAUGGAUUUGCUGCCGGUGCUGGUUCAGGUAAAAUGCCCUUCCUUGCUUCUACCCUCUGGUGCCCAGGAAGCAGUUGUUCGUCAGUAGUUUUGCCUUUUCUAGGUUUUCUGGUAAUGGAUUCACACAGUCUAUAUGUCCAGCCUCUUUCACUUAAUAUAAGCAUCGAGAUAACUCAUGCUUACUGUACAUAUUAGUAAUUUUAUUGUUUAGUAUUUUCUUUUAUGGUUAUGUUAUUGUAUUCAUUUACCACUUGGUGGACAUUUCAUGUAUUUUCAGCAUUUUGCUGUUAAUGAAUAAAGCUGCUCUAAAUGUG
rnacentral:lncRNA from 1 species